rnacentral:rRNA from 3 species
GGCCUAUCAGCUUGUUGGUGGGGUGAUGGCCUACCAAGGCGGUGACGGGUAGCCGGCCUGAGAGGGCGACCGGCCACACUGGGACUGAGACACGGCCCAGACUCCUACGGGAGGCAGCAGUGGGGAAUAUUGCGCAAUGGGCGGAAGCCUGACGCAGCGACGCCGCGUGGGGGAUGACGGCCUUCGGGUUGUAAACCUCUUUCGCCAGGGACGAAGAGUGAUUGACGGUACCUGGAGAAGAAGCACCGGCCAACUACGUGCCAGCAGCCGCGGUAACACGUAGGGUGCGAGCGUUGUCCGGAAUUAUUGGGCGUAAAGAGCUCGUAGGCGGUGUGUCGCGUCGGCCGUGAAAACUUGGGGCUUAACUCUGAGCGUGCGGUCGAUACGGGCAUCACUUGAGUUCGGCAGGGGAGACUGGAAUUCCUGGUGUAGCGGUGAAAUGCGCAGAUAUCAGGAGGAACACCGGUGGCGAAGGCGGGUCUCUGGGCCGAUACUGACGCUGAGGAGCGAAAGCGUGGGGAGCGAACAGGAUUAGAUACCCUGGUAGUCCACGCCGUAAACGUUGGGCGCUAGGUGUGGGGACCAUUCCACG